rnacentral:rRNA from 1 species
UGGGGAAUAUUGCACAAUGGGCGGAAGCCUGAUGCAGCGACGCCGCGUGGGGGAUGAAGGCCUUCGGGUUGUAAACUCCUUUCGACAGGGACGAAGCUUUUGUGACGGUACCUGUAUAAGAAGCACCGGCUAACUACGUGCCAGCAGCCGCGGUAAUACGUAGGGUGCGAGCGUUGUCCGGAAUUACUGGGCGUAAAGAGCUCGUAGGUGGUUUGUCGCGUCGUCUGUGAAAUUCCGGGGCUUAACUCCGGGCGUGCAGGCGAUACGGGCUGACUUGAGUGCUGUAGGGGAGACUGGAAUGCCUGGUGUAGCGGUGAAAUGCGCAGAUAUCAGGAGGAACACCGAUGGCGAAGGCAGGUCUCUGGGCAGUAACUGACGCUGAGGAGCGAAAGCAUGGGUAGCGAACAGG